GUUGAGAUUGAGACCAAGGAUAAGAUUACUGUCAAGAAGGUUGAAAAGGGUAUCUGUUAUAUGUAUGUUAAAUGAUUUUGGGAAGUUUCUGAGGAAGAACUCAAGAAGAGUGGCACUGUCAACUUCAAUUUCUGUGAUAUUGGGCUUGUGUUAUUUGUUUCUAAGAUUGACAGCAACUCCUCCUCCAAAGGUUGUUCCAUAUUCAGACUUGAUUACCAGCCUUCAGGGAGGAUCUGUGUCAAAGGUUCAAUUUGAGGAAGGCACACGCCGUAUUUACUACAAUACGAACUUGUGGAGUCUUAAAAAUGCUCAGACAGGGGAAGAUAAUUCCUUAGUUCCCGAUGAAAGCACGACCAUCACUGAGGAAAGCAAAGAUAUAGAUAGCAACAAAGGUGGCAAGAAUG
rnacentral:misc_RNA from 1 species